UACGGAGGGUGCAAGCGUUAUCCGGAUUUACUGGGUUUAAAGGGUGCGCAGGCGGAUAUGUAAGUCAGUGGUGAAAUCUUCCCGCUUAACGGGAAAACUGCCGUUGAUACUAUAUAUCUUGAAUGCUGUGGAGGUAAGCAGAAUAUGUCAUGUAGCGGUGAAAUGCUUAGAGAUGACAUAGAAUACCGAUGGCGAAGGCAGGUCUCUGGGCUAUAACUGACGCUCAUGCACGAAAGCGUGGGGAGCAAACAGG
rnacentral:rRNA from 1 species